UGGGGAAUCUUGCGCAAUGGGCGAAAGCCUGACGCAGCGACGCCGCGUGUGCGAUGAAGGUCUUCGGAUCGUAAAGCACUGUCGCGAGGGAAGAAACCUGACGGUACCUCGAGAGGAAGCACCGGCUAACUCUGUGCCAGCAGCCGCGGUAAUACAGAGGGUGCGAGCGUUGUUCGGAAUUAUUGGGCGUAAAGCGCUGGUAGGUGGCCUGCCAAGUCGCGUGUGAAAGCUCCCGGCUCAACCGGGAAAGUGCGCGCGAAACUGGCUGGGCUUGAGUGCCGGAGAGGGUUGUGGAAUUCCCGGUGUAGAGGUGAAAUUCGUAGAUAUCGGGAGGAACACCAGAGGCGAAGGCGACAACCUGGAAGGUGACUGACACUGAGCAGCGAAAGCGUGGGUAGCAAACAGGAUUAGAUACCCCCGUAGUCC
rnacentral:rRNA from 1 species